GACCUCAAAUCAGGUAAGACCACCCGCUGAAUUUAAGCAUAUAAUUAAGCGGAGGAAAAGAAACUAACUAGGAUUCCCUCAGUAGCGGCGAGCGAAGCGGGAAGAGCUCAACGUGAAAAUCUGGGAGCUUUGCUCUCCGAAUUGUAGUCUAAAGAGGCGCUCUCUGUGCCGACCCAGGUAUAAGUCCCCUUUUGAAUGGGGCGUCAUAGAGGGUGAUAACCCCGUUUAUGACCUGGGCGUUUCGGUGCUGUACGAGGCGUUUUCGUCGAGUCGGGUUGCUUGAGAAUGCAGCCCCAAUUGGGUGGUAGACUUCAUCCUAAGCUAAAUACUGGCGGGAGACCGAUAGCGAACAAGUACUGUGAAGGAAAGAUGAAAAGCACUUUGAAAAGAGAGUUAAAGAGGACCUGAAACCGUUAAGGGGGAAGCGAAGAGUGCGAGUGGUGUAGCACGCCGUUCAGCGCGCUGCGGCGCGUGUACUCGGUGUGCUAGCCGUGUGGGCCGGCGGGCGAAAGUAUGUUCUUUUUUCGCGGGGGUUCUGUAUGGGACCUGCUCUGCGGCCUGCCGCCGCGCACACGAAAUGGCGCUCUCCGACCCGUCUUGAAACACGGACCAAGGAGUCUAACAUGGGUGCGAGUGCUCGGGUGGCAAACCCCUGCGCGGAAUGAAAGUGAAUCGGUGGGAGCGCUGCGCCAUUGUGCGGGGGCGUGCACCAUCGUCCGACUUUGAUCUUCUGAGAAAGGUUUGAGAACGAGCAUCUAUGCUGGGACCCGAAAGAUGGUGAACUAUGCCUGAGCAGGGUGAAGCCAGAGGAAACUCUGGUGGAGGCUCGUAGCGGUGCUGACGUGCAAAUCGCUCGUCGGACUUGGGUAUAGGGGCGAAAGACUAAUCGAACCAUCUAGUAGCUGGUUCCCUCCGAAGUUUCCCUCAGGAUAGCGAGAACGUGGGAUUCAGUUUUGUCAGGUAAAGCGAAUGAUUAGAGGAUUGGGGGGAUUCGUUCCUUCAGCCUAUUCUCAAACUUUAAAUAGGCAAGGCGCGCGAGUUGCUUGGUUGAACUUGCGCGGACAAUGAACGUUCUCAGUGGGCCAUUUUUGGUAAGCAGAACUGGCGAUGCGGGAUGAACCGAAAGCAAAGCUAAGGUGCCAAACUGUACGCUCAUUUCGAACCCAUAAAAGGUGUUGAUGCAUCUAGACAGCAGGACGGUGGCCAUGGAAGUCGGAACCCGCUAAGGAGUGUGUAACAACUCACCUGCCGAAUGCAUUAGCCCUGAAAAUGGAUGGCGCUCAAGCGUGCGACCGAUGCUUUGCCGUGCGUCCAAGUGCGAUGGACCUUGCAUGAGUAGGAGGGCGUGGGGUUUGUGACGCAGCCUUGGGCGUGAGCCCGGGUGAAACGGACCCUAGUGCAGAUCUUGGUGGUAGUAGCAAAUAUUCAAGUGAGAUCCUUGAAGACUGAAGUGGAGAAGGGUUCCAUGCGGACAGCGAUUGGACAUGGGUUAGUCGGUCCUAAGAGAUGGGGAAACUCUGUUUCAAGUGCCGGCUUGGUUCGGCAGGCCAUCGAAAGGGGAUUGGGUUAAGAUUCCCAAACCGGGAUGUGGGGAGUUUAGGCGGCAACGCAAGUGAGCUCGAAGACGUCGGCUGAAGCCCUGGGCAGAGUUGUCUUUUCUGUUUGACGCGCCUAGCGCCCUGGAAUCGGAUUAUCCGGAGAUAGGGCUCGUUGGCCGGCAGAGCGUCGCGCGUCCUGCGGCGUCCGGUGCGCUUCAGACGGCCCGUGAAAAUUCGAGCAAACCGAGUGCCUUCACGCCCGGCCGUACCCAUCACCGCAUCAGGUCUCCAAGGUGAGUAGCCUCUAGUCGAUAGAAGAAUGUAGGCAAGGGAAGUCGGCAAAUUGGUUCCGUAACUUUGGGAAAAGGAAUGGCUCUAAGGGUUGAGCCGCGCGGUCUGUCGGAAGAAGCGCGGCGUGCGCCGCGCUCUAGCCCCGCCUGCCUUCACGGGGAGGCGGGGCCGGGGCGCGGCGCGUGCUUUGCGUGGACACUGGCGGAAGGGCCUUUUCCCUCGGGAGGGGGCGCGCUCGCGCGGCAAGGAACAACCAACUUAGAACUGGUACGGACAAGGGGAAUCCGACUGUUUAAUUAAAACAAAGCAUUGCGAUGGCCGGAAAUGGUGUUGACGCAAUGUGAUUUCUGCCCAGUGCUCUGAAUGUCAAAGUGAAGAAAUUCAACCAAGCGCGGGUAAACGGCGGGAGUAACUAUGACUCUCUUAAGGUAGCCAAAUGCCUCGUCAUCUAAUUAGUGACGCGCAUGAAUGGAUUAACGAGAUUCCCACUGUCCCUGUCUACUAUCUAGCGAAACCACAGCCAAGGGAACGGGCUUGGAAAAAUCAGCGGGGAAAGAAGACCCUG
rnacentral:rRNA from 1 species